AACUGAUCUCUUCGGAGUGAAAUUAAGUGGAUUAGUGGCGGACGGGUGAGUAACGCGUGAGUAACCUGCCUUAGAGAAGGGGAUAGCCUUUGGAAACGAAGAAUAAUACCCUAUGAUAUGAUAACCUCGCAUGGGGCUAUCAUCAAAGAUUUAUCGCUCUAAGAUGGACUUGCGUCUGAUUAGUUAGUUGGUGGGGUAACGGCCCACCAAGACAGCGAUCAGUAGCCGGCUUGAGAGAGUGUACGGCCACAUUGGGACUGAGACACGGCCCAGACUCCUACGGGAGGCAGCAGUGGGGAAUUUUGCACAAUGGGGGAAACCCUGAUGCAGCGACGCCGCGUGAUUUAGAAGGCCUUCGGGUUGUAAAAAUCUUUUCUAUGGGAAGAAAAUGACAGUACCAUAGGAAUAAGGACCGGCUAAUUACGUGCCAGCAGCCGCGGUAAUACGUAAGGUCCGAGCGUUGUCCGGAAUCAUUGGGCGUAAAGGGUACGUAGGCGGGUAAGCAAGUUAGAAGUGAAAUCCUAUAGCUCAACUAUAGUAAGCUUUUAAAACUGCUCAUCUUGAGGUAUGGAAGGGAAAGUGGAAUUCCUAGUGUAGCGGUGAAAUGCGCAGAUAUUAGGAGGAAUACCGGUGGCGAAGGCGACUUUCUGGCCAUAACCUGACGCUGAGGUACGAAAGCGUGGGUAGCAAACAGGAUUAGAUACCCUGGUAGUCCACGCCGUAAACGAUGAGUGUUAGGUGUCUGGAGUAAAUCUGGGUGCCGCAGCUAACGCAUUAAACACUCCGCCUGGGGAGUACGCGCGCAAGCGUG
rnacentral:rRNA from 1 species